rnacentral:rRNA from 1 species
UACGAAGGGUGCAAGCGUUAAUCGGAAUUACUGGGCGUAAAGCGUGCGCAGGCGGUUUUGUAAGCCAGAUGUGAAAUCCCCGGGCUCAACCUGGGAAUGGCAUUUGGGACUGCAAGGCUGGAGUACGGCAGAGGAGACUGGAAUUCCUGGUGUAGCAGUGAAAUGCGUAGAUAUCAGGAGGAAUACCGAUGGCGAAGGCAGGUCUCUGGGCUGAUACUGACGCUCAUGCACGAAAGCGUGGGGAGCAAACAGG